rnacentral:miRNA from 1 species
CUAGCACACAGAUACGCCCAGA